rnacentral:rRNA from 1 species
GACGAACGCUGGCGGCGUGCUUAACACAUGCAAGUCGAACGGAAAGGCCCUGCUUGCAGGGUACUCGAGUGGCGAACGGGUGAGUAACACGUGGGUGAUCUGCCCUGCACUUCGGGAUAAGCCUGGGAGACUGGGUCCAUACCCGGAUAGGAGCCACUUUUAGCGUGUUGGUUGGAAAGUUUUUUCGGUGUAGGAUGAGCUCGCGGCCUAUCGGCUUGUUGGUGGGUUAAUGGGCUACCAAGGCGGCGACGGGUAGCCGGACUGUGUGGGUGGACGGCGGCAUUGGGUCUGACGUGCGGCCCAGGCUCCUACGGGAGGCAGCAGUGGGGAAUAUUGCACAAGGGGCGCCAGCCUGAUGCAGAGACGCUGCGGGUGGGAUGACGGCCUUCGGGUUGUAAACUCCUUUCGCGAGGGACGAAGCUUUUUGUGACGGUACCUAGAUAAGAAGCACCGGCUAACUACGUG